GCCUGCUCAGCCACAUAUAUACUAAAUUUAGAACAAUACAGAGAAUCUUAGCAUGGUCCCUUUUAAGAUAGUAUUUAAAUUCAAGAAACAUUCCCUAUUUUA